GUGGGAAAGGAUUUGGAACUCAGGGCAUGUGUGGGGUGGGAGUGGGGGAUGGGAGGCCUCCACUUUCCUCCCCGGGGAGGGUGAAUCUCCUGCUCUGCACCCCCCCACCCCGGCCCCAGCCAACACCCCACUAAUCACUGCUUGGUUUGGGAUGGGGAGUCAGGUCAGUAGGGGCCAGAGGUGCUCAUUGCUGGUUCCUUCUGCCCCUCCUUUCACUUCCUGCCGCUAAAUUUCUCAGAAUCGUUGGUGUUUCCAAAUAUCCCUGACCGGGACCAGGGGCCCCCGAGCUCCGCUCUUGCCCAAUCCGGGCUCUGACCCUGGCAUCUGAGCCCGGGGCCCCGGCCCUCCUGUGAAGCUCAGAGGCCAGGCCCUGCAGCCUUGGGGCCUGCUGCUUUACUCUCCCUGGGAGCAAAGUCCCCCCCCCUUCCCCCCCAGCAGCCUGGGGGUGGUGGGGAGAGAGGCGGGAGAGAGAGCAGGCUUUCCCCACCCCACCUGGGACUGGUGCUAACAAGCUCCCAUUGGCUCCUACUGGGCACCCAGGCUUUUCACCCCUUAACUCCUCUCUUAAAGCCCAGAGCCCAGCCCGAUUUGCAGAUGAGAAGACUGAGGCCCCGACAGCAGGUGCAGGGCUGCGGGCCGAGGGUCCUGCUGCACAUUCCUCAUGGCCAUCCAGCGAGGUCGGGAGUUAUCGUCCCCGUUUGCGAGCUAGGGAAGCUGAGGCUCACAGAAGCGUUCCCACCUUGUUCCCACCUCGCCCUUCCUCGGUCCCCCUGCACACUCCCCGCCCAGGCUCCAUCAGCGUCCAGGCCUCGACUCCAGCGCAGCUCGGAGGAGACGCCUCCCUGACCACCCCGUCUAAACUAGCAAAGAUGCGCACCUCGUCGUCACUUUGUUUAACAGCACCAUCGUCAUUUUGAUGAUCUGCACCCCUUCACCCCCUGCGGUCGGAGGUCCCCACUGCAAGGACCCCAAGGUCCCUGAGGGCCCCGAGGUCGCAACCCCAGCAUUUCAAACACAGCUUGAAACCAAGCAAGAGCCAACUACGUUAUUUGUUGAAGGAACUAGAGGGGGGUGGAGAGGAGUCAGGAUCUGAACCGCAGUCUGUUUGGGAAUCCAGUGCGUCUAUCCACUCAAGCAUACGGUCUCCUUAAACGGCCAAGGAUGAGCUCUUUAUAGAUUUGGGAGAAUAUACCACAAACUGCCAAAGUGCCUCCCUCUGAGGAGUAUGUGGAAGGAGAUGGGGAGGGAGCUUUUUUUUUUUUUUUUUCCGAACCGUAUGUAUUUCUAUAUUUAUUUGAAUUUUUCUAAGGCCCAUGUAUUACUUUCAUAAUCUAGAAAGUGAUGCAUGCAGGAUUAGGUGAUUCUCCCCCCUUCUCGGUGAACUCUCCUUAACCCCUUAGACCCAGACGUAUCACCUGCACACACGUUCCUCAGCUCACAGAUUCCUCCCCUCGGCCAAUGGUAGAGAACAUCAGCACAGCUUCAAACCAUCUGCUCCUACGCAGAACCAAGCUAAAAGAAGGAUUAUUUGAAAAACGUCCUUGGAAGCUGCGAGGCUCCACCCGGGGAGGUGGGAGGCGGGAGGCGUCAGAGUCACCUGGGAAGUUUUCCUGAAACGCACAGCCCUGGGGCCCCACCCCCAGGAUCGGUGGGUUGGGUUUUAAGUCUUGUGCAGGGCAAGCCACAGAGAGGACCACUGGUUUCAGGGACACACUACUAGAGAUCUCUACCUUGCUCCUUGGAUCAGCUCAGGCGGGGGCAAUCCCAUCCUCCCCAGAGCUACUGAGCCUCGGGGGAUCUUUUGCAUACAACGCUUAACUUCUGUCAGCAGGGGCGACCAGAACUGCCCUCUGCACCGUUUAGGGCUUAACCAUCUCAACUCUUAGCACCCUCCACCUCAGCCUUCCCCCGUGGGGCCCCUGAAUCAGAGGGGGAAAGGGGCAGGAUCACAGCUGGUGCCAGCGACGGCUCAUCUAUGCUGCAGCCGAGGCCCUCGUGGUGGGAACCUGUCAGGCCCAUGAAUGGUGGGCAGAAGAAAAGCUGAGAUGUGAUACUGUGCACAGCAGCAUCUGAGAAGCUGCAGCAAGACAGGGUCGGGAAAAUCUGACUCCCUAAAAGAACCACAAUUUUUUUCUCCUUUAGAAUAAAGAACUCGGUAAUGGACCAUUUCCCUUUUUGCCCUGGCUACCAGGAAGCUCAGAGGUCAUAUUUACUCUCAUAGCUACAUAGCUACUGCAUCUGUUUUUCAUUUUUUUUUUUAAAUUAAAUCUUUGGUAUCAAGGUCCCAUUUUCCUAGAGGUGGGGCAUAAAGAAAUCCAAUAAAUGAAUAUUUACACAGUAUUUCUUACUAGCAAACCUCUGUAAACAUCAUGGCCAGAGCCCAGCUCUGUCCAGAACGCUCUGAACACGAACCAAGAAACUUGCCUACGUGUUUUCCUUUAGGGAGUGUCUUGCUGUCCAGCAGGACCAGGAGAGUGAUCAGGGCUGGGCUAAGUCGGCAGGGACCUACGCCGGUCUGGCUUCCUCGUUCUGGGCCUUUCGGUGACUGCACCAUGCCUCCAGCCCCUCCCAGGCCCCUACUUCACUGCUGACCCACCGUCCCUGAUUUCAGCUUCCCUCCAAGGCCCCCUCCAGGCCACUGUCCCCUCUCUGGGUUGACACGAAGAUAGCUCUGACUACCAGGCCCUUCCAUACGCUCCCACCCUGUCUCCCUCCUCACCCGGUUCCCAAAUAAGCAGGCCACACACCAGGUUUCAAGUAUCUGUCUCUUCCGUUCACUCUCUCAAAAGAAAAAAAUAAAUA